UGCUUUAUUCUGUUUCUCAGAAUAACCACAUUCUUGCCACAUGAUUUCAUUGUACAGGAUUUGUAGGUUCUUUUGCGUUUUAUCCAUCUGUGUAUUUACUGCUGGUCUCCUGGGAAGAGAGAAGACAGGUUAUUUCAGAAAUACAAACCCAAAGCAGAAACAUUCCCUCCACGAGACUGCUCUGAAAUUAGAUUAGUUUGUCAGAUUAGAUUGGAAAGGAAUCUUAAAUCAUUUCGUACAAACUGUUCAUUUUGUAGAUGAGGAGGCUAUGUACAAGGGAGGAAAAAUGAUUUGUUAUCCAGUAAAUGGAACCAUGGGCUUUAUCUGAAGAUAGUGAGAAACAGUAGAUCAGCAUGGUUAAAAGGAAGGAAUCAGAUCGCUCUGGGCUCUGCUGCUUACCAGAUGUGCAAUCUGGAAAGUGUUAUUUAAGUUUAUCUGAACACCAGUGUACUUGACUACAAAAUGGAGUUGCUGCAAGAAUUAAAUAAAAAGAUUGCGCGUUCACAGGGAUGAUGCAUCUGAGAGCUCAAUGCAUGUCGGUGAUGACGAAGAUGAAGAUGCUGUGAGUGAUGAUGAUGAGGAGGAGGAGGAGGAUGUAACUGAAGGAGCUUGGGCUUUGCCAUCAGUACAGCUGAGUUAAAGUAUGGAGGCGCAUCACAGAACUGGCAAGUGCCCGCCUCGGGGAGGUCCAUCUUUUCUGGAACUGCAACAUCCCAUCUGUUUUCUUUUAUGCCUUAAUAUCCCCAAAGUCGCUCUCGCCAAAUGCUACAGAGCACCUAUUUAUUGUUUUAAUUAAAGUGAGUAGGUUUGAGGAUUUUAAAAGAGAACUUUGAAGCUAUCCAAGGGGGUUCCAAAAUCAGAGGAGGGAAAGCUUACACCAGAAUGCAUUAGAGUGAGAGCCUCAUCCCAGGCUCCCUGAUUGAGGAGAAAGGGAGCAAAGAAGAUGAAGAAACACUGCAACAAGAAACAUUGAGGCUCAUGUCUUUGUUUUGUUUCUCAAAAGAUUCCAUUAGACUCAAUAUGUCAUUCUAAGUGCACCUGGAUAUAGUGUAGAUUUAGAUAACUCUCUCCUCCCCUUCUGACCUUUAUUAUGACUGCAAAAAUUCUGUGUGUGAGGGAUAAAUAAUGCAUGCUCUCAGUCAAGAAGGGAAAGAAGACCCAAGGAAAAAUUGCAGAAUAGAAUGGGCAAACCAGGAAAACAGAGCUCAGUACAGAAGGGAGUUGGGCAGCCUCUGUUUCUGUUUGGCUCUGUCCUUGAAGAAAGUGAUAAGAAGUGCACAGAUUUUGGAAUUAAACAGACCAUAGUUUGAAUUCUGGAUCUUCCAGUUGUAACCAGGUGGCACUGGGGCCUAUGGUUCAUCUUGCAAUAUCAGAGAAUAUGUAACUGCUGGAAGCUCAUUUGUGCAGAAGCACUGGUUAGACCAAGUCCCAGGAGGGUGGGGACCUGAACUGCCACAUGCACAUUGUACCCAAGAGCCUGGCCCAUGAAAGUAAAUCAGUGGAUACUUGAAUAAAAAGAAUAAUAUGUGC